GUCUUCGUGGUGUAGCGGUCAGCACACUCGAUGCAUAUUUGAGAGGUCCGUGGUUCGAGUCCCGGCAAGGGCA
rnacentral:tRNA from 1 species